CUACGGGAUGCUGCAGUGAGGAAUAUUGCACAAUGGGGGGAACCCUGAUGCAGCAACGCCGCGUGGAGGAUGACGCAUUUCGGUGUGUAAACUCCUUUUAUAUGUCAAGAAAAUGACGGUAGCAUAUGAAUAAGCACCGGCUAACUCCGUGCCAGCAGCCGCGGUAAUACGGAGGGUGUAAGCGUUACUCGGAAUCACUGGGCGUAAAGGACGCGUAGGCGGGUUGGAAAGUCAGGUGUGAAAUCCUACAGCUUAACUGUAGAACUGCACUUGAAACUUCUAAUCUAGAGUAUGGGAGGGGGAGAUGGAAUUAGUGGUGUAGGGGUAAAAUCCGUAGAUAUCACUAGGAAUACCUAAAGCGAAGGCGAUCUCCUGGAACAUUACUGACGCUAGGGCGUGAAAGCGUGGGGAGCAAACAGGAUUAGAUACCCUGGUAGUC
rnacentral:rRNA from 1 species